rnacentral:rRNA from 1 species
AGAGUUUGAUCAUGGCUCAGAACGAACGCUGGCGGCGUGGAUAAGACAUGCAAGUCGAGCGAAGUAUGAGGGGUAGCAAUAUUCCUUAUACUUAGCGGCGAAAGGGUGCGUAACACGUAGAUCAUCUGCCUCCAAGUGCGGAAUAGCUCGGCGAAAGCCGGAUUAAUACCGCAUGUGAUCGUGAGAUUAAAGCCGGGGACCGUAAGGCCUGGCGCUUGGAGAUGAGUCUGCGGCCUAUCAGCUUGUUGGCGGGGUAACGGCCCACCAAGGCUAAGACGGGUAGCUGGUCUGAGAGGACGACCAGCCACACUGGAACUGAGACACGGUCCAGACACCUACGGGUGGCAGCAGUCGAGGAUUUUUCUCAAUGGGCGAAAGCCUGAAGGAGCGACGCCGCGUGGGGGAUGAAGGUCUUCGGAUUGUAAACCCCUGUCACUUGGGAACAAAUUGGAUUACCUAACACGUCAUCCAUUGAUAGUACCAGGAGAGGAAGACGUGGCUAACUCUGUGCCAGCAGCCGCGGUAAUACAGAGACGUCGAGCGUUGUUCGGAUUCAUUGGGCGUAAAGGGUGCGUAGGCGGUGAGGUAAGUCGGAUGUGAAAUCCCAAAGCUUAACUUUGGAAGUGCAUCCGAAACUACCUUGCUCGAGGACUGGAAGGGAGACUGGAAUUCUCGGUGUAGCGGUGAAAUGCGUAGAUAUCGAGAGGAACACCGGUGGCGAAGGCGGGUCUCUGGACAGUUCCUGACGCU